GAGGCACUGCGGGGGUGGGGAGGGGUCAUGGAGUCAGGGCCACCCUGGAGCCUCACAGAGGAUGUAGGGUGAGGGACCUCCCACCCCGGGGACCCGCCCUCUCACCAGGGUUGUGGCUUCGGCAGUGGUGCAGCAUCCGCGCGGCUCUGGCCAUCAUUCUCUGCGGACAACACCGGGGCAUGAGCUCUUGCCUGAGGGAGAAACCCUGUCCUGCCCUGUGCAGCAGCAGGGAGGCCAAGCUCCCUCUGAACCAAGGAUCAGGGGCUGUAAGAUCCUUGGUUAUGUGGCGUCAUGUGUACUUCGCCCCAGCACACCCAGAGGCCCAGCGGGGACCAGGCAGAGGACAGAAGGCAGAGGCCAGGAGAGAAAGGCUUAGAGAGAAGAGGGCUGGAAGGGCUCUCGUUGAAUGGUGAGACGUCUGAGGCUGGCACCCUGGCAGACCCAGUUGCAGUGGAAUAAGGCAGGGGCUAUUACACAGCCCUGAAGGCAGCCCGUAUUUGUCUGGAUGUCUUCAUUCUUCCAGUCUAAGAACUCCUAAUUCAUCUCUGCACUCCCUGAGGCAUCAGCACUUGAGAGUAAACUCCUUUGAAUCCCUUGAGCCCCACGAGGUGGAUUUUCUCUCAAGAGCUCCCAGGCUAUGCUGAUGAAGUACCUCUUCUCUGCUUCUCUCCAGAAUAGUCAAAACCCUCAAAAUCCUCAAAAGUUCCUGGAGGUGGGAGGUUCCACCCCCAACUCUACCCUCGCCUCUUCUACUGGUCUAGCCCGCAAGCCCCUCGGAGUUCCUGAGGGGCAGACAGGCCCUGGUGCACACGGGCGCUCCAUGCCAGGCCCUUGGGCUCUGGAGCCCCUGACACUGCCCUGGCACCUCAGACCCCAGGACUGGACACCCACAGGCUCCAGCCCAGUCUUCACACAGGAUCUCCUGCCCCCAUGCACACACUGAGGGCCAGAAUGCACCGUGCAACCCCUAUCCUAGUGCUGAACACCCCUUCCUCAGCCAGCUCCCCAAACUCACAGGCUGGAGCUAGGCCCUGGGCCGAGGUUGGGAACCCUGAAAGUGACAAAGGACGAGUAGAGGGGCUGCAGGGAAGCCAAGAGUGAGGGUGUCUGGAGGGCAGGGCCGAGCCCAGCUGAUCCUAGCAGAGCCAGGCCGGGCAGGGCGAAGCACUCACCAGCAGCCUCUCGAGGGCGGAGUACAGCUUCCGGACUUUGUGAGGCAGCCGCUGUGAAAAGGAGGCAGAUGAGCGGCUGCUCUGGGGGAGGCCCAGCCCCAUCCAGCACUCCCAGGAGGGCCUGAGGCCUGACCUCAGGAGGGGGCCCUCCAGACCACACUUACCUCCCAG